rnacentral:misc_RNA from 1 species
AAAAUACAAAAGAGACCAGGCAGCUAAGAGAUGACUUGAUGAUGAUGCUGAUUGCUGGACAUGAAACAACUGCUGCCGUUCUUACGUGGGCUGUUUUCCUCCUUGCACAACAUCCAGUCAAAAUGAAGAAAGCGCAGUCAGAGAUUGAUGCAGUGCUUGGUCAGGGAAGGACGACCUUCGAGUCUCUUAGAAAAUUAGAAUAUUUGCGACUUAUUGUCGUGGAGUCAUUGCGCUUGUAUCCACAACCUCCAUUGCUUAUUAGACGUUCCCUUACAUCAGAUAUACUACCAGGGGGCUAUAAUGGUGACAAGAAUGGAUACGAAAUUCCAGCUGGCACUGAUGUUUUCCUAUCUGUAUAUAAUCUUCAUAGGUCACCAUAUUUCUGGGACAAACCUAAUGAAUUUGAACCCGAGAGGUUCCUAGUACAAAAGGAAAGUCAAGGCAUUGAAGGCUGGGGAGGUUUUGAUCCAUCUAGAAGUCCUGGAGCAUUAUAUCCAAAUGAGAUUAUAUCAGACUUUGCUUUCUUGCCUUUUGGUGGGGGACCAAGAAAAUGUGUCGGUGAUCAGUUUGCACUAAUGGAGUCAACAAUAGCAUUGGCAAUGUUGUUGCAAAAGUUUGAUGUGGAACUGAAAGGGUCUCCUGAGGAUGUAGAACUCGUUACGGGGGCAACUAUUCACACGAAAACUGGCUUGUGGUGUAAAUUAAAGAAGAGAUCAAAUAUUUGAAGAUCCCCAGCUUGUGGAUAAUAUUCACAAUUCUGGCAAGUGUAUUACUCUUGGAAAAUUAUGAUGGUGUUCGUUCUCUGUGGAAGAGAAUCCAUAGCAGCAGGGAGAAUCCCUUCAACCAAGAGUUGUAUUUUGUUGUAUUAUGUUUGUAGGAGGGAACAUUUUGCAUCAAUAUAGAUGCCACAUAUUACUCGUAGUCGUAUGCUUAUAUCAUGUAUCUUUUGAAUAUAAAGAACGAAAUUUUGUGCCCAAAGUCUUUUAAUCCUUUUAAUUAAAAAGGGAGAAAAGACAUGAUAUCUGA